CUUGGCUGUUCCUGCUGCUACUGGAGCUGGGGUGGAGGUUUGAUGGUCACCAUUGCUGGAGCCUGUUCUGAGCUUCCCCAGGAUCUUCCAUCAGACCCGUGGGCAGCUGGAGCGCAGCUGAGAAGUGAUGGUCCCCAGCCCUGGUGGUCCUGCCCGAAGCAGAGGGUUGAGCUGGGUCACCUCUCGAGAGCCUUCUCAGCCUGAGUGUCUUUCAACACUGAGUGUCAGAACAGAACUGGCAGAGCUGAGCCAGGUCCUGUCCCAACCUCUUGCCUGCGCCAACAAGGAGCAAGAUACCUUCCUGUGUAGAGUAAUAAAUGUUCUAAAAACUGCUGUCCUCUCUUCUACUCUGAUUAUUCUCA